CUACGGGGCGCAGCAGUGGGGAAUAUUGGGCAAUGGGCGAAAGCCUGACCCAGCAACGCCGCGUGAAGGAUGAAGGCCCUCGGGUUGUAAACUUCUUUGAUGAGGGAAGAUAAUGACGGUACCUCAAAAACAAGCCACGGCUAACUACGUGCCAGCAGCCGCGGUAAUACGUAGGUGGCAAGCGUUAUCCGGAUUUACUGGGUGUAAAGGGCGUGUAGGCGGGAUGGCAAGUCAGAUGUGAAAUUCCGAGGCUUAACCUCGGCGCUGCAUCUGAAACUGCUAUUCUUGAGUGUCGGAGAGGAAAGUGGAAUUCCUAGUGUAGCGGUGAAAUGCGUAGAGAUUAGGAGGAACACCAGUGGCGAAGGCGGCUUUCUGGACGAUAACUGACGCUGAGGCGCGAAAGCGUGGGGAGCAAACAGGAUUAGAUACCCGGGUAGUC
rnacentral:rRNA from 1 species